UACGUAGGGGGCAAGCGUUGUCCGGAAUCAUUGGGCGUAAAGCGCGUGUAGGCGGUUACGUAAGUCUGCUGUGAAAGUCGGAGGCUCAACCUUCGAAAGCCGGUGGAUACUGCGUGACUAGAGUACGGAAGAGGAGAGUGGAAUUCCUGGUGUAGCGGUGAAAUGCGCAGAUAUCAGGAGGAACACCAACGGCGAAGGCAGCUCUCUGGGACGUUACUGACGCUGAGACGCGAAAGCGUGGGGGAGCAAACAGG
rnacentral:rRNA from 1 species